CGCUUGGAAGUAUCGGCUUCUGUGGUGCUGUGGUCUGCGUACAUGGCGACUGUGCAGCGUUGCUUUAGUGACAGGAGAUCGAGUCUGAUCAGAGCCCUCCAGACCAAACUGACCCAGCUCUAGCUCUAUCUGUCAGUGGAUCGCAGCUUUCUGACAGAUAGGCAACAGCUAGUGAGACUGGGGAAAUUCAUGUACAACAGCUGCUCCACCAACACUGGUGCCCCUCAGGGAUGUGUUCUCUCCCCACUGCUCUUCUCCCUCUACACCAACGACUGCACCUCUAAAGACCUCUCUGUCAAGCUCCUGAAGUUUGCAGACGACACUACAGUCAUCGGUCUCAUCCAGGACGAUGACGAGUCUGCUUACAGACAAGAGGUUGAGCAGCUGGCUGUCUGGUGCAGUCUUAACAACCUGGAGCUGAACACUCUCAAAACAGUGGAGAUGAUUGUGGACUUCAGGAGAAACCCCCCUGCACUCCCCCCACUCACCAUCAUGAACAGCACUGUGGUUGCAGUGGAGUCAUUCAGAUUCCUGGGAACCACCAUCUCUCAGGACCUGAAGUGGGACAAUCACAUUGACUCCAUUGUGAAAAAGGCCCAACAAAGGUUGUACUUCCUUUGCCAGCUGAGGAAAUUUAACCUGCCACAGGAGCUGCUGAAACAGUUGUACUCAGCCGUCAUUGAGUCUGUCCUGUGCACUUCAGUAACUGUCUGGUUUGGUUCAGCUACAAAAUCAGACAUCAGAAGACUACAGAGAACAGUUUGGACUGCUGAAAGGAUUAUUGGUGGUCCCCUGCCCACCCUUCAAGAACUGUAUUCAUCCAGAGUGAGGAAAAGGGCUCAGAAAAUCACUCUGGAUCCCUCACAUCCAAGUUACCCCCUUUUUGAACUUUUGCCAUCUGGCUGACGCUUCAGAGCCGCAAAUACCAGGACAGUCAGGCACAAGAACAGUUUCUUCCCCCAGGCGAUCUACCUCAUGAACAUUUAAUGUUCUCCACUUAUGCAAUGAAAAUGUGCAAUAUUCUUAUAUUUAUUUGUUACCCCUUCAUCCAAGUACAUCUCUGCAUCUUACUCUAUUCUAUUCCAUUAUCAUCUAUAGCACAACUGUUCAUACAAUUUAUUUAUUUGUAAACAUUUUUCUUUUUUUUUUUUGUUGUUGUUGUCUCUGUGUACUGGAAGCUUAUGUCACUAAAACAAAUUCCUUGUAUGUGUAAGCAUACUUGGCAAUAAAGCUCUUUCUGAUUCUGA
ensembl:lncRNA